rnacentral:rRNA from 1 species
CCCCAGCCGAUGGAUAGUCAGUAAAGAAUCAGAAUUACCUGGAAAGGUAAGCCGGAGAGGGUGACAGCCCCGUACGAGUAGAAAAGCUGACUGUUCUUGAGUAAGGCGGAGCACGAGAAAUUCUGUCUGAAAAUGGGGAGACCACUCUCCAAGGCUAAGUACUACUGAUUGACCGAUAGUGAACAAGUACCGUGAGGGAAAGGUGAAAAGCACCCCUAUAAGGGGAGUGAAAGAGAACCUGAAACCGGAUGCCUACAAGCAGUCGGAGGGUCUAUAAGGCCUGACGGCGUACCUUUUGUAUAAUGGGUCAGCGACUUAAUUUAUGUAGCAAGCUUAAGCCGAUAGGUGUAGGCGUAGAGAAAUCGAGUGUUAACAGCGCGUUAAGUUACAUGAAUUAGACCCGAAACCGAGUGAUCUAGCCAUGAUCAGGUUGAAGGUUGGGUAACACCAACUGGAGGACCGAACCCACUCCCGUUGAAAAGGUAGGGGAUGAAUUGUGGCUAGGGGUGAAAGGCCAAUCAAACUCGGAAAUAGCUGGUUCUCCGCGAAAACUAUUUAGGUAGUGCGGUGAGCGGACACCUUGAGGGGUAGAGCACUGGAAGAGCUAAGGGGGAGCGAUCCUUACUAAACUUUACCAAACUCCGAAUACUCAAGAGUGAUACUCACCAGACAGACAUUAGGUGCUAAGGUCUAGUGUCGAGAGGGAAAGAGCCCAGACCGCCAAUUAAGGUCCCAAAAUUAUGGCUAAGUGGUAAAGGAAGUGAAACGUCCAAAACAGUCAGGAGGUUGGCUUAGAAGCAGCCAUCCUUUAAAGAAAGCGUAAUAGCUCACUGAUCUAAACAAGACGUCUUGCGCCGAAGAUGUAACGGGGCUAAAGCCAUAUACCGAAGUUGCGGAUUUACACGUUAAAGUGUAAGUGGUAGCGGAGCGUUCUGUAAGCCUGCGAAGGUGUACCGUAAGGUAUGCUGGAGGUAUCAGAAGUGAGAAUGCUGACAUGAGUAGCGAAAAGAAGAGUGAGAGACUCUUCCGCUGAAAGUCCAAGGUUUCCUGCGUAAAGCUAAUCUGCGCAGGGUUAGUCGGUCCCUAAGGCGAGGCAGAGAUGCGUAGUCGAUGGCAAUCAGGUUAAUAUUCCUGAACCGGCCCGGAAGUGACGGAUUGAGUAAAUUGUAAGUUCUUAUUGGAUUGAGCUUGCAGUGAAUCAGUCCCAGGAAAUAGCCCGGGCUAAGACCGUACCCGAAACCGACACAGGUGGACAGGUAGAGAAUACCAAAGCGCUUGAGAGAACUAUGUUGAAGGAACUAGGCAAAAUGACUUGCGUAACUUCGGGAUAAGCAAGCCCCAUUUUAAGGCAACUUAGGGUGGGGGGCACAUACUAGGGGGUAGCGACUGUUUACUAAAAACACAGGGCUCUGCUAAAUUGAAAGAUGAAGUAUAGGGUCUGACGCCUGCCCGGUGCUGGAAGGUUAAGGAGAGAUGUGCAAGCAUUGAACUGAAGCCCCAGUAAACGGCGGCCGUAACUAUAACGGUCCUAAGGUAGCGAAAUUCCUUGUCGGGUAAGUUCCGACCUGCACGAAUGGCGUAACGACUUCCCCGCUGUCUCCAACAUAGGCUCAGCGAAAUUGAACUCUGAGUUAAGAUGCUCAGUACCCGCGGUUAGACGGAGAGACCCCGUGAACCUUUACUAUAGCUUUGCAGUGGUAUUAGGUAACAAAUGUGUAGAAUAGGUGGGAUGCUAUGAAGCUACGACGCCAGUUGUAGUGGAGCAGACUUUGAAAUACCACCCUUUUGUUGUUUGAUAUCUAACCUGCUCCCGUUAUCCGGGAGAGGGACCCUGCAUGGUGGGUAGUUUGACUGGGGCGGUCGCCUCCCAAAGAGUAACGGAGGCGCGCAAAGGUUGGCUCAGAUUGGUCAGAAAUCAAUCGUCGAGUGCAAUGGCAUAAGCCAGCCUGACUGCGAGAGAGACAUUUCGAGCAGAUACGAAAGUAGGUCAUAGUGAUCCGGUGGUCCCGAGUGGAAGGGCCAUCGCUCAACGGAUAAAAGGUACUCCGGGGAUAACAGGCU